AAUGAACGUUGGCGGCGUGGAUUAGGCAUGCAAGUCGAGGGAGAACCCGCAAGGGGGACACCGGCGAACGGGGUAGGAAUACGUAGGUAACGUACCCUCAGGACGGGGAUAGCCACGGGAAACUGUGGGUAAUACCCGAUGAUCUGGCCGGGAUCAAUUUCCUGGUCAGCAAAGGUGAGAUUCCACCUGAGGAGCGGCUUACGCGAUAUUAGCUAGUUGGCGGGGUAACGGCUCACCAAGGCGACGAUAUCUAGGGGGUGUGAGAGCAUGGCCCCCACCACUGGGACUGAGAUACUGCCCAGACACCUACGGGUGGCUGCAGUCGAGAAUCUUCGGCAAUGGGCGAAAGCCUGACCGAGCGACGCCGCGUGCGGGAUGAAGGUCUUCGGAUUGUAAACCGCUGUCGGGAGGGAUGAAGUGCACGGGGGCAAUCCCCUGUGUUUGACAGAGCUCCGGAGGAAGCACGGGCUAAGUUCGUGCCAGCCGCCGCAGUAAGAC
rnacentral:rRNA from 1 species